rnacentral:rRNA from 1 species
UACGUAGGGCGCAAGCGUUGUCCGGAAUCAUUGGGCGUAAAGCGCGUGUAGGCGGCCAGAAAAGUCCGCUGUGAAAACUCGAGGCUCAACUUCGAGCUGUCGGUGGAAACUUUCUGGCUAGAGUCCGGAAGAGGAGAAUGGAAUUCCUGGUGUAGCGGUGAAAUGCGCAGAUAUCAGGAAGAACACCCGUGGCGAAGGCGGUUCUCUGGGACGGUACUGACGCUGAGACGCGAAAGCGUGGGGAGCGAACAGG